CGGAGAUAUUUCAGGCGCCUCUUAGCCCUGGCGGGUUCAGUUUCAACCCCUGACCCGGAUGAGACUCCCGAGGAAGUCUGACACUGCCUUAAGCUGUAUGAGGUUGCCCCCGAACCCGAGGAUCAGGACUCAACACUCUAGUCAGGGAAGGACACAACAUGGACUUGAAAUGCUUUUUGACUGUUGCCAAUACUUUGCUACAAAAAGGAAGCCAUCAUCCUUGGAUUGUGUGUUAACUUCAGAUAACUGCAGCCCAGAAAAGGGGUCCUGUAGCAGGCAUUGGCAGCACCAGGAUUAACUUCUGUGGUAAUAGGGAUGAACUUGUUCCUGAUCAAUCUCAAAAAUUUGAUGAGGUCUUCAUAAAACAUGACUGGCAAGUAAAUUUAGAAUUGCUGGUAAUAGCAUAUAUAUAAAAAGGAUUUAUUGUAUGCCAGGUUCUUUUUUAAGCAUUUUAUAUAUAGUAACUUAUUUAAUCCUUACCAUACCUCUGUGAGGCUGGUAUUAUUAUUAUCUUCCUUUUACAGAUGAAGAAUCUGAGGCUCAGAGAGGUCAAGAAACUUGGCCACUUAGAUAGUUAGUAUGCAUUGACACCAGAAUUCAAACCCAGAUGAUCUGGCUCCUGAAUUCAUGUUUAUAACCACUACGAUUUACUACUUCUUGGAGUCAUUGUAGGGGGGCACCCUUCAAACUAUCCAAGACCUGUAUUAUAGAAAUAGCAAUUUGAAGGCAAGGAGAACCAGAGACAAUGGAUUUGAUGACUUAUUGAUUAGGAUCCAGGGUUCAAAUUUAUUCUAUGGAGAAACAAGGUCUAUCUCGUAGUCUACAAUGAAUUUAUGAUAGUAGGUGCAUGCCAGGUGACUUAAUUUGAUGAAGAAUGGAGGGCUUUCAGAGCAAGGAGCCAGGUACAUCAUUUAGAAGAUAUUCUGAAAAUAUUUCUGCAGUGUCUUCCAUAUAUCCCUCACUUCUGGAUCUAAACAUUUGUGUAAAGGAAUAGAAUAAUUAUUUAAACUAGAACAUGGAAAAAAUCAGCAUUUGUUUAGGUGGAUAAAGUUAGUCUUGACUAAACUAGAAGAAUUUGUAAUAGGCCAGCCACAAAAAAAGAA